ensembl:lncRNA novel transcript, antisense to ARHGAP11A
CAUCCCAGAUAAGUGUGCCUCUCACCAGGAGCCGCACAGCUCUUCAACCCCCACAUUCUGCAUACAAACCUCUUGACUAUGACAUUUCCUAGAGACCCUCUUCAGCUCCAUCGACCUCCAUGACCUGAUUUGAUACAUGAAACAGAGGAAUCUUUUGAUGCACUUUCUAUACAAGAGGAAAGAGCACCGUCACAGCUCACUGAUUUGACCAAAGGAGAAGCUGUAUCACCAAGACUCGCCAACUUAUGCCCUGUAGGUUGUCUGCUAUACUCCAACAAAGAAUUAAUUCUUCUGACGGACUGACGAACAGGAGUACGCUGAAACUUAAGAGGUGACUUGACUUUUAUUCUAUUUGGUUCAUUUAAAGAAAGCUUGUUAAACCACUGUAUGUGAUCAGAAACCUUUCUAUGUUCUGUCAUUUGUGAACUUUCAGAAACUGUUUUCUCACAUGUUUCCAAUGACUGCUGUUUAGCAAUUCUCAUAGGCCUAGGUUUUGACAAGUUUGUUACAACACAUGUACUCUGCUGUGAGAAAGAGGAUCUAGCCUCGUCCUUGCUAUGUGCUGCACACUUCGAUGUACUCGAGUUAAAAUGAGGUCAUUUGGGUGGGCCCUAAUCCAAUGUGCCCUGUAAGAGGGAAGUUCUGACACAGAGCAACAUCAUAGGAUGACAUAGGCAGGGAUUGGAGUGACGCGGCUGCAAGCCAAGGAAUGCUAAGGACUGACAGCCACUACCAGGAGCCAGGAAGAGGCAAGAAAGGAUUCUCCCCUGCAGGUUUCAGGCAUUCUGCCAACACCUUGAUUUCAGACUUCUAGCCUCCAGAACGGAGUUUCAUAUUCACCUUCUUCAAAGCCUUCCAGUGAUGGAGUAGCACAGAGACCAUCAAUACCCAACAUGGCUGGUAUCUUUUCCAGGAUAAAAUCUGGUACACGCCCUAAAUGAAAAUGUUCACAAGAGGGGCCGGUACUGUAGGGUGGGGGUGAGGUCAGUAAUAUACCAACUUUCUAACAGUUGCCUUCAUAGUUCCUUUGAAAGAAACAGAGAUUUUCCUCAUUUAAACAAAUUCUGUUAAUAAUGCAACUACAUCUUACCAAUAUCUGAUGCAUAAUCGAUAAGAGUCUGUACUACUGCAGCCUGUAAUCGUAGCUUCUUUUCUGUGUUAGAAGACAUCUUUUCAUGUCCUUCACUUGUCUGAAGAAGAUUCGGUGCAAAUAUUACUGCAAGAUUGCUGCUGUCCAUCUUAUUCUCACUGGAUCUUAAGUGAAUAAACGCUUUAUUAGAUGGAGCCAAACGUGAAAAUACAGAAGAGUUAAAAUAACGUAUGUAGUACAUUUUGAAGACCUUAUUAUCAGUCAUACACAAGUCAAAAUAGUUACCCUUCAUCUACAUGAUUGGCUUGAACACAAGAAAGAACCAGAAAUAUAUAGCCUCUCUAUAUUUAAAUAUGUAUUCUAAAAACCAUGCUAAUCUUAGAGUUCAUACUUUGCUUUUCCACACAAAUUGAACAUCUUUAUCUGAUUUUCAGACCUACACAUAAAAAGUUGGAAGUAUCAGAAGGCAGCAAGUAUGUCUAGAAUAAGCAGGCUCACUGACAGCAGGGAGAGGGAAAUUUUGAAAAGCAAAACAGAAAUAUUUUAAAAACCCAGUAAACAAAGGCUUUCAGUGGACAAUGAAUCUUAUAAACACCAAUGAACCAUUAAGGCAUUCAUGAUGAUGACUUUAAGAUAAGGAAAUAUUAAAUCAUUUGGUAUGCUGUUUCUUAAAUUGGAGUAUACUCCUCAUAGUAAUGAAAUAUGGAAUUUUUAAAGAAAAAUUUCCAUUCCAAAUGAAAUUGUACAUAUCUACAAGCAUAAAACGUUAGUUGAAAAAUUCAACUAUUAUUUGCCAAGAGUUUUAAUUACCACUUACCUAAGAGAAACAUUCCUGAGAAAGUUAAAGAAGUAUCUUAAUACAUGAACUGUGUGGUCAGCCAGAAGACAGGAGAGCAACAGUGUAGCUUUAUUCUUUUCCUCUGUGCCUAACUGUUGAGCUUUCAAAAGUGCUUCAUGCAAAUCAGCUGGGAGAAUGGGCUCUGGCAGUUCCCUAAAAAACUGCUUAAGAAGUCCCGCAAUAUCACAAGGAGGUGCAGAAGAUAGGCAACCUUCACCAUGAUCCACUUUAUUCUGAAAUAAAUAUAAUAAUCUUGAGUAUUUUGGCAACUUAAGAGUUUAUUGCAAAUAAAGUAUCUUU